UUAAUGGGAUGAGAUUCAACAAGGCCAAGUGCCGGGUCCUGCACUUCGGCCACAAUAACCCCAUGCAGCACUAUAGGCUUGGGGAAAAGAGGCUGGAUGACUGGCCUCUUCUGCCAGGCAACAAACAGGACCUGAGGAAAUGGCUGCAAGUUGUAUCAGAUGAGGUUUAGGGUGGACAUACGAAGGAACUUUUUCUCUCAGAGAGUGGUCAGGCACUGGAAUGGCUGCCCAGGGAGGUGGUGGAGUCGCCAUCACUGGCAGUGUUCAAGAAGCGCCUGGAUAGGGAGGUAGGAGAGAUGGUUUAGGGGUUUCCUGUAGGUAUGGUGGAGGGAGGAUGGUUGGACUGGAUGAUCUUAUAGGUCCUUUCCAACCUUGUGAUUCUGUUGGUUGCAUCGCCUGCAGCUCCCAGUGCCACCUCUGCCCACACCACAGUUCCAUGGGCAGCUGCUCUUCUCAUGCAGUAAUGCCUCGAAAGCGGAAUAAAACCGGGUCUGUUUGUCUUCCACGAUGGUUUCAGGCCAAUGUAAAUCAAUGGAAAAAAUGUGACAGCUCAGAAGAGCCGUGUGGAAACUUCCAUCAGAGCUGUCACUGCGAGCAGCUGGAGCAGCCAGAAAUAAUAUUUAACUUUCUCUUGAACUGUUCUGAGAUGGACAGAGCGAGCACAGCCUGUCUGAGCAUCUGAUAACAGCAGUGCUGAUGGGUCAGGGCUGAGUGAGAGCAGGGAGAAACACCACAGAGCACUGGGGGGAAGGAUCUACAAAUGGGAGAGCUUUCAGGAGGGGCUGGUUUGGCUCAGCCAGGCACCAACACCAUCACUUUGUGCACUGCCUGGUGGCUCCUUUCCCUUGGAAAACAUGGCAAACCAUCCUUCCAACCCACCCUGCUGCAGUGCUCCCAGGAGAUGGAUACCACUACAACCCCCAACACCUGCUGAAGGCCACCUGCAGCAUCUCAGUGUCUCCACAGGGGGAGAUGAAACAUAUCACUAAUUUGUCUCAUUUAACUCAUUCAGCAGGACUGAAAGCACUCGCUGCGCUCUGUGUUGAGACUCAGAGCAUUUACCACUCCAUGUUCCGCCACUGUUUCCAUUUCACUCCUGUGUUCUCUUUUCAUUCCUUGCUAUGAGAACCCCACGGACGGGCUGCCACAGGACAGAGCACACAGCGGGACAACCACUGCUCCACCAAAGUACUGAAUCGUUGGCUCCACUGAAAUAAAAGGCGAAUUACCCUCAGUGAAGGAGCUGGCUGAGGUGGUUGCUGAGCUGCUCUCCAUCAUAUUUGAGAAGACAUGGCUGUCAGUACUCACCCAAAGGACCAUCGGGAUUCCAUUGGAAUGCUCUCAUUAAGUGCCGAGGUCCCGGAGGGGCUCAGACACACAGCGGGCAUUGCUCUGCUCAGCAUCACUGCAGCUGGGCAGUGUUUGCAGUGGCAGGACAGCACUGUCUCACUGCUGAAGCUGAGAGCAGAACGCAAGACAAGCAACAGAGCCUUCCCUGGAGGCGAGCACAGCCCCAGCCCAGCACGAGUACCUGCAUCCCUGCCCAUCCUGGCAGCACCCACCUCCUCACCUGCACUGCCAUCUCCGGAGGUUCAGUGUGGGGACCCUCUGGGCAAAGGCUCAUUCACACCCUGGGGAAUGUUCCGUCUGGGUUUGCAGAAAGGCAUUUUAAAUGAAAAACAACCAGCUCUGGAACGCAGGGUACAUCCUGGCUGGUGUAGAUCCAUGGUGUAGAUCCAUGCCAGCCCUCCCACAUCCACAGAAAUGUACAGAUUUACACCUGCUUGAAGUUUUGGGUUUUGUAUUGGGCUGUAUCUCUUUCCCUCUGUAUCUUCACCAUUUGUCCAUGGCUGAAAGCAAAGCAUCCAUCUGCACUCUCAGCAGCUCGGCCCAGUGCACAGCUCAAGGCAUGGGGUACAACCCUGCAAGCUCAGCAGCCACAGGUGGUGGUGGCAAUGCAGGCGCUCAGUGCUGGCUCCGAGGCACUGCCAGGGCUGGGAGUGGGGCACAGAGCCAGCAGGGGACACGGGGUGAAGGAUGGGAUACGAGGACAGAGCCUUGCAGCUCCCCAGGCAGCAACAGCAGCUGCCAACACUGAAACCACAACGGGUGAUUUUGAGAAAAGUUAAGCAGUUUUAUUCAACGGGAUGAGUCCACCUCCAAGCAGUGGCUCCAUCUACACAGCAUCAUCAGCGCACAGGACAGAGGACCCAACCGCUCUGGCUGACGGCAUCGCACCAUACAUUACAGACACAACACCCACAGGGAGGAUGACGACCGUGACGAGGGGCAGCCCACAGCAGUUCCUGAGGGUUCCUGGCAGAACCAAAGCCCAGCAGAGCAUGCAGCCCAGCACCAGGAGCCCAGCAGCCUCAGGGCAUCCAGCACCACACCUUGAAAACCACAGCGCUGCCUGGUAGGUACACAGUCCAGCAUUACGAGAAUGGCACUGGGUGCACUGCAACCGUAGGACGAGAACUGCAUGGCCAUCAUUGCCCCACAGCUGGGCAUGAGGGCCUCCCACAGCAACACACACAGCCGGCCAUGGUCCUGGGAUGGGCUCAGGGUUGGGGGCUGCAGGCUCCGGGGCAGCACCGGCUCUGCAUGGCAGAGAACCCCCUGGGGGCAGCCCCACCUCCCGCAGGCCGUGGCCAUGCAGGGCUCAGCAGGAAUGGCACCCCAGCCCCGACUGCCUGCAGGCUGCAGCCAACUGCCCUGGGAAUCAUGAGCCUACAGUCUUUGAGCCUUGGAAGAGGUAUCGAGGAGCAGGAUAAAGUCACUCACAGAACAUGAGCAGGUUCCAGUUAUGAUAUCCUACCGUUUUGUGCCAAGUUACAGAAAAAUACAUUUCCCCCCCCGCCCCCCCCUAAAUUUACAGUAGUUAAAACUACAAUGGGAAUAUCUUAUUAAAAAGGGGUUGCCUACUCUUCAACAGAAUGUCUCGGCUUCCUUUUGUUCAAAAGAAAUCCUAAUUCUCAGUACUUCACUCAGCCACAGCACAACCGAACCGUACAAAGGAAAUCGCGAUGCUGCUCCCAGGACAUCGACUCCAACCAUUUGUUCUGGUGCUCAAAAAGGCACUUAAAGUUAAGAAAACAACUGUAUUAAAAACCCACAACAAAACAGAAGGAAACAAAAGGCAAUAAUUUAAUAGAAAAACACCGGCAUUUGUACCGCAUCUUCAAAAGGUAGGAAAAAAAACAAACCCAACAAACAUGGUUCGCUCUCAACUAAUCUCUGAAAAGAUAUUAAAAAAG